GGAGGGUAUAGCUCAGUGGUAGAGUAUGUGCCUAUCAUGCAUAAGGUCCUGGGUUCAAUUCUCAGGACUUCCA